rnacentral:rRNA from 1 species
GCAAGUCGAACGAUAUAGUGGCGAACGGGUGAGUAACACGUUGGAACCUGCCUCGAACUCAGGGAUAGCCAUCCGAAAGGAUGAUUAAUACCGGAUAGUCCCGAAAGGGUAAAGAUUUUUCGGUUCGAGAGGGGCCUGCGGCCUAUCAGCUUGUUGGUAGUGUAAUAGACUACCAAGGCUACGACGGGUAUCUGGUGUGAGAGCAUGACC